UGCAGCUUUGUCAAAUUCAGUGGUCCCUCGCUAGUAGGUUACACUGGCCAAAAUAGCUGCAACAGUGACUUUUGUAAUUCAUGGGCCCCACAUUUCUUCCAUGGAUUCUGGGGAUAAAUAUGUAUUACAGACAAAU